AUUGAACGCUGGCGGCAUGCCUUACACAUGCAAGUCGAACGGCAGCAUGAUCUAGCUUGCUAGAUUGAUGGCGAGUGGCGAACGGGUGAGUCAUACAUCGGAACGUGCCCUGUAGUGGGGGAUAACUAGUCGAAAGAUUAGCUAAUACCGCAUACGACCUGAGGGUGAAAGUGGGGGACCGCAAGGCCUCAUGCUAUAGGAGCGGCCGAUGUCUGAUUAGCUAGUUGGUGAGGUAAAGGCUCACCAAGGCGACGAUCAGUAGCUGGUCUGAGAGGACGAUCAGCCACACUGGGACUGAGACACGGCCCAGACUCCUACGGGAGGCAGCAGUGGGGAAUUUUGGACAAUGGGCGAAAGCCUGAUCCAGCAAUGCCGCGUGUGUGAAGAAGGCCUUCGGGUUGUAAAGCACUUUUGUCCGGAAAGAAAUGGCUCUGGUUAAUACCUGGGGUCGAUGACGGUACCGGAAGAAUAAGGACCAGCUAACUACGUG
rnacentral:rRNA from 1 species